CCUUGGUUGGGUGUCAGUGGGAAGGUGUGUUGGUAGUCAUCGGUUGGCAAGCACCUGCUGUACUAUUGGCAGGGGAUUGGUCAGUGCAUGGUACAAGAACCUUCUAGUACUUCAUACCUCUCAAAGUGCCAGGCACUGAAUGUUGCCAUUAUGAAGAAAAAAAAAAAAAAAAAAAAGAUUUUUUUUGUGUACUUGAAGCAGUUUCCAACUAUUUCAGAAGAGUUGAGUAUUGAAGUCCAAUUCCCUUGCAGAAAAUGUCUUGCCUGAAGUCAAGGACCGCAAAGCAGUUCUACGAUUUAAAAAGCAAGCAAUCAAGAAGGCCAAAAAGCCACAAUUAAAUAACUAUUCACAUGUUGAAUUUUAUGAACAACAAAAAAAAGGAGUAGAAAAAAGCACCUGUGAAAUCAGUAGUGAACUAAUGAACUAAUGAACUCCAUUCUUCUCUUAUUCCUAAAAAUAUGGAUGAUGUCACCCUAAAUAAUUAAAAUUGGACAAGUACCUUUUAGUAUUUGGGAAGAAAAUUAAAAGCUUGUUCUUAACAUAAAGUGGACACUAGAAUAUAUCCAGUUUGUUCUGUGAAGAGGGAUAAAUUACAUGUUUAUUUA